rnacentral:rRNA from 1 species
AGGUCAGUAGGUUGGCCAUGCCACAGGUAUGUGCUGGUCCCACUGAUUCCUCCUUCCUGAUGAACUGUAAUGCCAUUAAUUUGGUGUUGCAGGAAAUCUGGACUGUUACUUUGAAAAAAUUAGAGUGUUUAAAGCAAGCUAACGCUUGAAUACAUUAGCAUGGAAUAAUGAAAUAGGACGUUCGAUCCUAUUUUGUUGGUUUCUAGGAUUGACGUA